UACGGAAGGGGCAAGCGUUGUUCGGAAUCAUUGGGCGUAAAGGGCGCGUAGGUGGCUCUGUGUGUCUACCGUGAAAGCGUACGGCUCAACCGUAUUUUGUCGGUAGAAACUGCAGGACUUGAGGCUGGGAGGGGCUGGUGGAAUUCCCUGUGUAGCGGUGAAAUGCGUAGAGAUGGGGGAGAACACUCGUGGCGAAGGCGGCCAGCUAGACCAGUUCUGACACUGAGGCGCGACAGCGCGGGGAGCAAACAGG
rnacentral:rRNA from 1 species